GAUGAACGCUGGCGGCGUGCCUAAUACAUGCAAGUCGAGCGAACGGACGAGAAGCUUGCUUUUCUGAUGUUAGCGGCGGACGGGUGAGUAACACGUGGAUAACCUACCUAUAAGACUGGGAUAACUUCGGGAAACCGGAGCUAAUACCGGAUAAUAUUUUGAACCGCAUGGUUCAAAAGUGAAAGACGGUCUUGUUGUCACUUAUAGAUGGUUCCGCGCUGCAUUAGCUAGUUGGUAAGGUAACGGCUUACCAAGGCAACGAUGCAUAGCCGACCUGAGAGGGUGAUCGGCCACACUGGAACUGAGACACGGUCCAGACUCCUACGGGAGGCAGCAGUAGGGAAUCUUCCGCAAUGGGCGAAAGCCUGACGGAGCAACGCCGCGUGAGUGAUGAAGGUCUUCGGAUCGUAAAACUCUGUUAUUAGGGAAGAACAUAUGUGUAAGUAACUGUGCACAUCUUGACGGUACCUAAUCAGAAAGCCACGGCUAACUACGUG
rnacentral:rRNA from 1 species